rnacentral:rRNA from 1 species
CCUGGUUGAUCCUGCCAGUUAUCAUAUGCUUGUCUCAAAGAUUAAGCCAUGCAUGUCUAAGUGCAAGCCACAUUAAGGUGAAACCGCGGAAGGCUCAUUAUAUCAGUUAUGGUUCAAUAGAUCGUACUUCAGUUACAUGGAUAACUGCGGAAAUACUGGAGCUAAUACAUGCCAACAGAGUCCCGACCGGAGACGGAAGGGACGCUUUUAUUAGAUCAAAACCAAUCGGUGGUUUCGGCCAUCGUCUACUUUGGUGACUCUGAAUAACUUUGGGCUGAUCGCACGGCCUUCGUGCCGGCGACGCAUCUUUCAAAUGUCUGCCUUAUCAACUGUCGAUGGUAGGUUCUGCGCCUACCAUGGUUGUAACGGGUAACGGGGAAUCAGGGUUCGAUUCCGGAGAGGGAGCCUGAGAAACGGCUACCACAUCCAAGGAAGGCAGCAGGCGCGCAAAUUACCCACUCCCGGCUCGGGGAGGUAGUGACGAAAGAUAACGAUACGGGACUCAUCCGAGGCCCCGUAAUCGGAAUGACUACACUUUAAAUCCUUUAAGGAGUAUCAAUUGGAGGGCAAGUCUGGUGCCAGCAGCCGCGGUAAUUCCAGCUCCAAUAGCGUAUAUUAAAGUUGUUGCGGUUAAAAAGCUCGUAGUUGGAUCUGUGUCCCGACAACCGUACGGUUACAACCGACCCGACGGUGUCAAACUGACGCGAUGCGGGACGUCCUGCCGGUGGCGUGCAGCUGCGCGGCCUUUCGGGGACGCGUGGGCGGCGCCGAUUCAAUCCCGUCGCGGUGCUCUUCAUUGAUGUCGAGGUGGGCCGGCACGUUUACUUUGAACAAAUUAGAGUGCUUCAAGCAGGCUGGAUAUUGCCUGAAUGCUAGUGCAUGGAUAAUGGAAUAGGACCUCGGUUCUAUUUUGUUGGUUUCGGUAACCAGAGGUAAUGAUUAAGUGAGACAGGCGGGGCAUUCGUAUUGCGACGUU